AGCUUGGUGCUUGCACCGAGCGGAUGAGUUGCGAACGGGUGAGUAACGCGUAGGUAACCUGCCUCUUAGCGGGGGAUAACUAUUGGAAACGAUAGCUAAUACCGCAUAAAAGUCGAUAUCGCAUGAUGUUGAUUUGAAAGGUGCAAUUGCAUCACUAAGAGAUGGACCUGCGUUGUAUUAGCUAGUUGGUGAGGUAACGGCUCACCAAGGCGACGAUACAUAGCCGACCUGAGAGGGUGAUCGGCCACACUGGGACUGAGACACGGCCCAGACUCCUACGGGAGGCAGCAGUAGGGAAUCUUCGGCAAUGGGGGCAACCCUGACCGAGCAACGCCGCGUGAGUGAAGAAGGUUUUCGGAUCGUAAAGCUCUGUUGUAAGAGAAGAACGAGUGUGAGAGUGGAAAGUUCACACUGUGACGGUAACUUACCAGAAAGGGACGGCUAACUACGUGCCAGCAGCCGCGGUAAUACGUAGGUCCCGAGCGUUAUCCGGAUUUAUUGGGCGUAAAGCGAGCGCAGGCGGUUAGAUAAGUCUGAAGUUAAAGGCUGUGGCUUAACCAUAGUACGCUUUGGAAACUGUUUAACUUGAGUGCAGAAGGGGAGAGUGGAAUUCCAUGUGUAGCGGUGAAAUGCGUAGAUAUAUGGAGGAACACCGGUGGCGAAAG
rnacentral:rRNA from 1 species